ACGAAACAUUUGACGUUGACGAAACGAAAUGUCGGUUUCGUCAAGAGCGAGUCGAUGGGCAAGCUUUGCUAGGCUUUGACAGUGAGCUACUCAAAGAAUGCGGGUAACUGAUCGCAACGUGGCUUGAUGAAUUCUUCAGAACGCGCUUACUGAAUCCUUGCUCGACGUCUCCCAGAGUCAGAUUUGUUGGACAUCGUUCCAAGCUCCUUAGAGCCAUUAGACAAUUAAAGCAGCAAAGCAGCAGUCAUGAGAUAUGCAGAAAGUGGU
rnacentral:ribozyme from 1 species